rnacentral:rRNA from 1 species
UACGGAGGGUGCAAGCGUUAUCCGGAUUUACUGGGUUUAAAGGGUGCGCAGGCGGAUAUGUAAGUCAGUGGUGAAAUCUCUAGGCUUAACCUGGAAAUUGCCGUUGAUACUAUAUAUCUUGAAUGCUGUGGAGGUAAGCGGAAUAUGUCAUGUAGCGGUGAAAUGCUUAGAUAUGACAUAGAACACCUAUUGCGAAGGCAGCUUACUACGCAGAUAUUGACGCUCAUGCACGAAAGCGUGGGGAUCAAACAGGAUAGAUACCCGAG